CUUAAGGAAGCAUUUAGCAGAGGAAGCAGUGGUUCAGUGCCAGUAUCCAUUGCUGGAAGGGAGGUGAUGCCAGGCACAGGCACAGGAGAUGGGGUUGCUGGGAAGGUUUCUCCUUUAGCCUGGCGGUAUGAAGUUGUGAAGCCCUCUGGGCCUCCUGCAGGUGUGUCUGCAGGGAGGAUUUCUCCAACUCCUGUCCUGAUUGCUGCACACAAGCCCAG